ACGUUAGCUGCAGAAGAAGCACCGGCUAACUCCGUGCCAGCAGCCGCGGUAAUACGGAGGGUGCGAGCGUUAAUCGGAAUUACUGGGCGUAAAGCGCAUGCAGGCGGUUUGUUAAGUCAGAUGUGAAAGCCCGGGGCUCAACCUCGGAACCGCAUUUGAAACUGGCAGGCUAGAGUCUUGUAGAGGGGGGUAGAAUUUCAGGUGUAGCGGUGAAAUGCGUAGAGAUCUGAAGGAAUACCAGUGGCGAAGGCGGCCCCCUGGACAAAGACUGACGCUCAGAUGCGAAAGCGUGGGUAGCAAACAGGAUUAGAUACCCUGGUAGUCCACGCCGUAAACGCUGUCUACUUGGAGGUUGAGGUUUUAGACUUUGGCUUUCGGCGCUAACGCAUUAAGUAGACCGCCUGGGGAGUACGGCCGCAAGGUUAAAACUCAAAUGAAUUGACGGGGGCCCGCACAAGCGGUGGAGCAUGUGGUUUAAUUCGAUGCAACGCGAAGAACCUUACCUACUCUUGACAUCCAGCGAAGCCUUUAGAGAUAGAGGCGUGCCUUCGGGAGCGCUGAGACAGGUGCUGCAUGGCUGUCGUCAGCUCGUGUUGUGAAAUGUUGGGUUAAGUCCCGCAACGAGCGCAACCCUUAUCCUUGUUUGCCAGCACAUAAUGGUGGGAACUCCAGGGAGACUGCCGGUGAUAAACCGGAGGAAGGUGGGGACGACGUCAAGUCAUCAUGGCCCUUACGAGUAGGGCUACACACGUGCUACAAUGGCAGAUACAGAGGGCAGCGAGACAGCGAUGUUUAGCGAAUCCCUUAAAGUUUGUCGUAGUCCGGAUUGGAGUCUGCAACUCGACUCCAUGAAGUCGGAAUCGCUAGUAAUCGUGGAUCAGAAUGCCACGGUGAAUACGUUCCCGGGCCUUGUACACACCGCCCGUCACACCAUGGGAGUGGGCUGCACCAGAAGUAGAUAGCUUAACCUUCGGAGGGCGUUACCAACGUGCCUCUAAUUAAAAAAAAAAAGKAUGAAAUC
rnacentral:rRNA from 1 species